AUGUGUGUCUCAUUGCCUGGGCUUCUUCUCUGAGGUCCAGUUUCUUUAAAAGCUUGCUCCUUGGGGCACCUAGGUGGUUCAGUCAGCAUUGGAAACAUGCUGCUCCAUAUUUGCCAUUUCUCCAAGGAUUCUUUUGAGAACACAGACAUCCUUUAAAUCAUCGUUCUUGGGAUGCUGCCCCAUUUUCUUUGGUUCUUCUUGAAUUCUGUUGAGAAGGCAGCCAUUAUUGAAAUCAUCAUUCCCUGCUAGAAUAUGCUCAAUUAUUGGGAAUGCUGGGACUUGGGUUCACACUGAAUGGGACUGCAUGUGCUUCGAAGUGGGAAAAGUUGAUCACCUGAAAAACAAUGAAUCUUCUGUUAAUAAACUUUGGAUACCAUUCAGCAUUGGGAAGAUUCUUAUUUUUCUCACGUUCUCUAUGGAUUCUUCUGAGAAGGCAGCUAUCUUUUAAAUCAUUUUUGUGGGAUAGAAAUGCAAAGAUGAUGCCCCAUUUUCUCCACUUCUGCAUGGAUACUCUUGAGAAGGCAGGCAUUAUUUAAAUCAGCAUUCCCAGGAUGCUGAUGGCUGCACUGGCACCUUGAGCCACUGUUGUUGGAGGCCAGCAGAGAGUCCACUUAUUGAGGGCCCCUGUGACAGAAAAAAAGGCAUGCCACUGGUGAUUUCGCUGAACCCCGACCCUUGCCGACCCAACAAUAGUUGGCCACUGCUGUGCUCAGAUUCUAGAGGGAAUCAGAAAAUUCUGCCAGGAUGGAGCAUCAGAUUGGGGCACUGGAAACAAGACUGCCCUCAGAAGAGACAACAGAAGUCAGAGCCCCGUAAGCCAUGCCCCUCGUGUGGAGACAAUCACUGGAAGCCUGAAUGCCCACUUGAUGGUGCUGUGGAGUUCAACUGUAUUCUUACUGAUUUUCUGCCUCCUGAAUCUGUUUCUGAUAGUGUUAAUGUCUCCAGCUAUAAUAGUGGAUUCAUGUGUUUCUCUUUGCAGUUAUAUCAGCUCUUUUUCACAUAUUUUGAUACCCUCUUAUUAGGUGCAUGCACAUUAAGGCGUGCUGUGUUUUACUGGAUUAUUGAUCCCUUUAUCAUUAUGUAGUGCCCCUCUUUAUCUCUAAUGAUUUUACUUGAUCUGAACUCCUUUGUGUGUGAAAUUAAUAAAGCUACUCCCCCUUUCUUUUGGUUAGUAUUAGCAUAGCCAUCUCUAUCCCUCUACUUUUAAUCUACGUGUUUCUGUAUACUUAAUUGGUUUUCUUCUAGACAGCAUAUGGCAAGGUCUUGUUUUUUGAUCCAUUCUCACAGUCUGUCAUUUAAUUGGUAUAUUUAUACUGUCGAUGUUGAAAGUGAUUUUUGGUAUAGCUGGAUUAAUAUCUACCAUAUUUAAUACUGCUUUCUAUUUGCUGCCCUUGUAAUCUGUUGUUAUUUUUGACUUCCACACUUCAUCUGCUUUUUUUGUUGGUUUUAAAAUUUACUUCCAGUUUUAUUGAUGUGUAAUUGACAAAUAAAAAUUGCAUUAUUUAAGGUAUACAGCAUGGCAUUUUGACAUAUGUAUUCAUUGUGAAUUGAUUAACAUAUCCAUCAUCUCAACAUAAUUAAGUUUUUUUCUUGGCGAGAACACAUAAGACUUACACUCUUAGCAAAUUUAAAGCGUACAAUACAGUAUUAACCAUAGUCACUGUGCUGUCAGUCAGAUCUCCAGAACUUAACCAUCCUGCAUAACUGAAACUUUUUACCCUUUAACGAGUAUCUCCCCAUUUCCCUACCCGUGGCCUCCUGGCAGCCACCAUUCUGCUCGUAUGGUUUUAAUUGAGCAUUUCAUAUGUUCCAUUUUCUCUCUUAGGAUAUUAAUUAUACUUCAUUUUUUCUUUUUCUUUUCUUUUUUUAGUGGUUGUCUGCCCUAGUGUUUGCAAUACACAUUUGCAUAUAAUCCAGGAACACUUUCCAAUGCAAUUAUAUUGCUUCAUGGGUAGUACAGGUACCUUAUACUAACAAAAUAUUCCUAAUUCCUUCCUCUGUCCAUUGUUAUCAUUGCUGUCCUUCAUUUCACUUAUACAUAGACAUACAUGACACAAAUACACAUGUGACUAUAUAUAUAUAAUUAUCACAUACAUGGCUGGAAUUAUUAUUUUCAACAGGCUUUUAUCUGUUUGUUACAUCAGUUUAGAAAAAGAAAAAGAAAAAUUUUUAUUUUAUGUUUAUUCUUUUUUCAAUAUUCUUCCUUUCUUUUCACAGAUAGGAGUUUCUGACCUAUAUCAUUUUCCCUCCCCCUAAAGAAAUUCUUUUAAUACUUCUUGCAAGGCAGGUCUACUGAAAGCAAACUCCCUCAAUUCUUGUUGGCCUGAGGAGAUUUCCUUUUUCCUUCACUUUUGAAGGAUAAUUUCACAGAGUUCACAAUUCUAGGUUGACCAUGUGACAUAGAACCUUUACUGCUCUAUAGCUCCAUUACCACGCACCUUCACUGUGCUGUUGUUUUUAUACAUAUUAUGUCUACAUAUCUGUUAUGCAACCAACAAUACAUUGUGAAAAUUAUUCCUUUAUGUAAGUGUAUGUCCAUUGAAGAAUCUAGUAGAAAGGAAAGGCUAAAUAUAUUUACAGAUUCUGUUCUAUUUUGUAUUAUAUUAAACUUCUUAUGUCCUAUUUCUUCCUAUGAAUUGGUGGUACCAUUUGGUUUCAUUUCCUUACUCCAGUGUAGCUUCAUUCGCAACCCUUUCCUUUGUGUUUAUUGUCACAUAUGUAUUUGUGUAUGUUACAUGACCGAAAUACAACUUUAUAGUUUUGUAUAAUUGUCUUUUACAUCACUUAUAAGAAAGGAAUAUCACUAUGUAAUUAUAUAGGUCUAAUUAUCUACAUAAUUGUUUUAACUGAAUAUCAGUAUUUUUUCCAUAUUUAUUUUAUAUUUUAUAAGUCUGGCAUCACCCCGUUUAUGCUGAAGAGCUUUGUUUAGAAUUUCUUAUUGCAGAAUUCAUAAAGAUUAUUUCAGUUUCAGUUCAUCUGGGAAUGUCUUCGUUUGGCCUUCAUUUUGAAAGAUAGCUCUGCUGGAUAUAGGAACCUUGGUUGUCGGUUCAUUUCUUUAUUUGCUUCAGCACUUUGAAUAUGUCACCCCAUGGCAUGCUGGCAAUGUUUUUCUUGAAAUGUCUGCUGUUGGUCUUAUUGGUGUUCAUUUCUAUGUAAUGAUUCACUCUUUUUCUUUUUUAAUUUUUUAAAUAAUUCUUUAUGUUAAUUUAUUUUUGAGAGACAGAGAACGAGAGAGAGAGUGUGUGUGUG